CGACGAACGACCACAAAGAGGAUGUUGGAGGAGCAACUGCGACGAAGCUAGCGUUCCUUGAUUUUGGUUUCUUUCUGGACGACGAACGAUAACUACGACGACGAAAACGCCAACGACAACUCAAUUCGCGAUGAAUCCUUUUAGAAACGGAGGAAGAACGAACAAAACUAUCAAAAAGCAACACAGAUUUAGAAGGAUAUUGGGUCAGGCAAGAACGCCAUUAUUUACAUAAGAAUUUCCGGUAUUUUUAUUUUUGUUUUAAACUUGACUUGGAUUUAAGUUAUCGAAAUCGGAAGAGACGUCGUUGAUUCUUGAUUCUCUCUGCACAUCACUAGUAGUCGGUCAUUGAAAGUUAAUUAAAUUCUUUCUGCUUUUUAUUAUUUUAUUUUUACAAAAACAAAAGAAACCAGAUUUUCAGAUCGUCCACUCGUUGUUGUUGUUGUUGU